rnacentral:rRNA from 1 species
AAGGUUUUCGGAUCGUAAAACUCUGUUGUUAGAGAAGAACAAGGAUGAGAGUAGAACGUUCAUCCCUUGACGGUAUCUAACCAGAAAGCCACGGCUAACUACGUGCCAGCAGCCGCGGUAAUACGUAGGUGGCAAGCGUUGUCCGGAUUUAUUGGGCGUAAAGCGAGCGCAGGCGGUUUCUUAAGUCUGAUGUGAAAGCCCCCGGCUCAACCGGGGAGGGUCAUUGGAAACUGGGAGACUUGAGUGCAGAAGAGGAGAGUGGAAUUCCAUGUGUAGCGGUGAAAUGCGUAGAUAUAUGGAGGAACACCAGUGGCGAAGGCGGCUCUCUGGUCUGUAACUGACGCUGAGGCUCGAAAGCGUGGGGAGCGAACAGGAUUAGAUACCCUGGUAGUCCACGCCGUAAACGAUGAGUGCUAAGUGUUGGAGGGUUUCCGCCCUUCAGUGCUGCAGCAAACGCAUUAAGCACUCCGCCUGGGGAGUACGACCGCAAGGUUGAAACUCAAAGGAAUUGACGGGGGCCCGCACAAGCGGUGGAGCAUGUGGUUUAAUUCGAAGCAACGCGAAGAACCUUACCAGGUCUUGACAUCCUUUGACCACUCUAGAGAUAGAGCUUCCCCUUCGGGGGCAAAGUGACAGGUGGUGCAUGGUUGUCGUCAGCUCGUGUCGUGAGAUGUUGGGUUAAGUCCCGCAACGAGCGCAACCCUUAUUGUUAGUUGCCAUCAUUUAGUUGGGCACUCUAGCGAGACUGCCGGUGACAAACCGGAGGAAGGUGGGGGAUGACGUCAAAUCAUCAUGCCCCUUAUGACCUGGGCUACACACGUGCUACAAUGGGAAGUACAACGAGUUGCGAAGUCGCGAGGCUAAGCUAAUCUCUUAAAGCUUCUCUCAGUUCGGAUUGUAGGCUGCAACUCGCCUACAUGAAGCCGGAAUCGCUAGUAAUCGCGGAUCAGCACGCCGCGGUGAAUACGUUCCCGGGCCUUGUACACACCGCCCGUCACACCACGAGAGUUUGUAACACCCGAAGUCGGUGAGGUAACCUUUUUGGAGCCAGCCGCCUAAGGUGGGAUAGAUGAUUGGGGUGAAGUCGUAACAAGGUAGCCGUAUCGGAAGGGUGCGGCUGGAUCACCUCCUUAAG